ensembl:lncRNA
GUGAAGCGAAGUCACCACAGUCAAAGGAGCCUGGCAUUGCCUAUAAACGCCAUGGAAACACAUGCAGGAGCAUACACAGAUAUGCUCAUAAAUGCCUUAGGUACACCUCACUAGUACCUGUGGUUUUCUCCUACAACACACAUCAGCCACUAAAGGGCUCCAAAACUCAGCUUGAGGACACGUUGCCUUCUUCUUUCUGUUUUGCAAGGACAAAUCUGACAGAAACGUAGAAUCUGUGUAGAUAUUUAAACAGCCCAGGCGACAGGGAAAGCCUUCAGCCCGACCAUGAAGGAUAGACUUUACGACAACAUCCACUAUACAGAUGAGCCCUCAAAUUAGUGCAGGAGCCACGAGUCCCGGGGCUCGAGGAGAGAGGCGGCCACCGCUCUACCUCUGCCACCGGCCGCACCGCCAGGGGCAUCCAUCACAAAGCUGUCUGCUGCUUUCACAACCAAAGUCUUCGGAGCAUUUAAGACAGUGGUCUAUAUUUCACCCUGUAUGUGGUUCCUCUUCAUCCAAAGUAGAACAAAACGCUAAGACAAUACUUAGAUUAAAAUGGUGUAAAUGCCAAGACCUCAUGUGCGACCCCACAGACAGUUGAACGUAAACACCGCGUUCAUGAGGCACCCGCCUAUCCCAGUCACCUACACGCAUCCACCUGGGAGCUUCUGGAGCAGGCAUUAUCACCUCCCCGGUACAGAUGGGGACUUGAAUGCUGAGAAAAGGAGAGCAACAUGGCGGAGUUCAGACCAUGCCUACUGAGGUCCAAGUCUGGAGUCUUGACCAUCAGGUUCAGGUCACAGGUGACAGCUCAUUUCCACAUCAUGUUCCUUGUGAUCUUUUCACUUCCCAUCUUUUUGUCAAAAUCCACAGGUAAGCAUCACUGUCUCAUCCUUUUCCCACCCAGGGGCCAAACUGACCUGAUGGCCAAGUGCCCUUUUCCUCAGUCAGGCCCAAUCCCACCAUCCAAGAGACACUGCCACUUCCAUUCAGACUUCCAUGCAGUGAGUAUUUACUGUGUGCUGGGCACUCAGUAGGUCCUGGGGAUAUUGCACAGACCCAAUCCCCACCCUCAGUGGACUUGCAACCUGGUGGGACAAAUGGACAGUAAACACUCCAAUUAAAUAUCGAGUCAAAGGUGUGAUGAGUUCUAUGAAGAAAAAGGACAGGGUAAAACAAUAAAAAAUAACCAGUGGGAGUGGGGCAACCUGAACAGAUCCUGGCAGAACAGGUUCCAGGUCUAGUCUUCAUAGGAGAAGUCCCUGUUGUCCAUCCCCUGGGUCAGGCUGAGUGGGAAGGAGGCCACCUCACCAUCCUGGCAGAGACUCUGAGCUGCCUAGUGGGAACAAACAUGAGAAAGCUUCUCCAGGCCCAUCACACUCAGCCAGCUUCUUUGUUGCCAGUUCCCCCAGGACCACUAUCUCCCUUAACUCAUUUGUUGGAGAUCCUUCCUAGGCUUCUGAAUUUGACAGUGAGCCUUGUCCAGCUGACUUUCCAACAGCCCUUACAGUGACAUGGCACCUGUCCAGGUGGAGCUGACCACCUGGCAAUCAGAGCCACAGCAACUCACGCCCUCAACAGUAGCCUCCCACAGCUCUCAGGCCCAGGCUGGUAUCAGUCUCCCUUUAGCAGCCUUUCCCUCUCCUCCUGGGUCCUCCAUUCUCCCUGCAUCCUCCAUAGUCGAACUUAAGGGAGGCCUGCUACUCUCCUGACAGGUAACAGCAGGUGCCCUACUCCCCUCAACAGAUAGAACCUCAUCAACUUGAGGGUAGAGAGUUUGGUUUUCAGAUUUAGAUCAUGAAAGAGCCAUGAAGUUGAGAGUGUGCUCCUGGGUCAAGAAGAUCUUAGGCAACACUGUAAAUGCAGGGAAUGUUGUCUUUGGAACUGAUUGUCUCUCCUUUCCUCUCCUACCCAUCUUGCACAUUUUGUCCCUGAAAGGCAAAUGUGACUGUGCGCAAGUCUUGAUAUUUUGCCCAGGCAGCAGGAAGCCAUUGGGACGCUACGGACAUCCUAACUAGCCCAGCAGAGUGGUACAUACACUGGGGACAAAGGCAAGAUUUCCAAGAGGACCUGGAAUUACCAGACAUGCCAGGUCAGCAAGGUCAUGACUAAUGGGUAACUUUGAUCCCUGGAUUUCUAAUGGCACUCAAGUGUGGUGAUGGGUCUCCAGGCAGACUGGACAUUGGGCAGCUGGUAAAGAAGAAAUGGUCUCUGGGAGAUUUUCCCACAGCCUGAAGAGGCCCAAGCCAGGGAGGAUGCAGGACAAAACCAAUGUUAGUCCCUGAGGGGAAGCAGAAGGAGAAUAGAGGUGAAAGAGGGGUAUCCAGGAUGUGACUCGAAAGACAUCAAGAGCUGGUGCUUGAUGAUCAUGUGGGAUCUGUGUAGCUAUGAGUUAGACCAUCCUGGGACUAGGACCCAGAAAAUGAUUAAUCCUAACAUUUCGUCUGCUCAGGAUUGGCCGUGGAACCAAAAUGGCAGGGUAGACAUGUGGGAGCUUAGCUGUGAGAAGCCUGGGAAGAAGGGUCCACUACCACCUCCCCAAUUGCAAUUCUCUUGAAGAGAGAUGUAUUAAGCCAAAGAACGGGAUUUCUUAAGAGAAGGGUAUGGACAGGAAAUAGGUUGCUGAGUCCCAACAAAUCAUGAAGAGAAAUGUAACAGAACAGAAAGUUUCUAGAGUGGGACAUCAGAAAGAUGUGGGUGUGAAUUCCAGUUCAACCGCUUAACAGUUACGUGUGCCAGGAAAUCUCAGAGCUUCCCCUGCCUUAUCUGUUAAACAAGGAAAAUAGUAAUAAGGCCUACCUAUAGUAGGCACACCCAUCAUGCCUCCCUACUCAAGCUUCUUUCUGAGCCCUCAGUCCUGGCAGCAUCUGGGCCAUGUCAACCUACCUAAAUCUGUCAUCUACUUAUAUCCGUCAUCUCUGGCAUUGGACCCAGGCUGGAUCCCAGACUGAAUCUAGACCAAUGGGCACCUGGGAAUUCAGAUUUGGGACUUUGUAGGCAAAGCUGGUUAUCUGUGAGUAGAUGAACUUCUAGGUUAGGUAGACUCGGUCACUAAGAGCACCACUGGUGUGCAAGCAGUUGAAUGAGAAGACGUGCAGCAGGAAGCAAAGAUAGCGAAAUUUCUUUCUCUAGCCCUAGUCCCCACAAGGCUGCAAUUAGAUUCUAAGGGAUUUAUCUAUAUGUAACAAUAAAUUUUCCUUUUAUUUGAGCCUCUUUGAGAGAGUUUCUGGUGCAUGCAAGCAUUUUGCCCUGAUUGAGAUCCUCAACAAAUAGUAGCAAUUACAAUGAUGACUCCAAGACGAGUACAGUGACGAAGAUGAUGACUUCCAUGACAUCAAAUGCUCUUGUGUAAGAUCAGCCCUGCCCUGGGUAAAGCUCCUUAUAAAUCGUUGACCUACCCAUGAGAUCACAACAGAGAUAAGAUAAAUCCUCAGACCUUGCUACUCAAGGUGCAGUCUUCGGGCCAGCAAUGUUAGCGCCUCUUGGAAGUUUGUUAGAAGUGAAGAAACUCAGACUGCACUCCACAUUUAGUGAGUCAAAAUCUACAUUUUUAUAAGCUCCCCAGGUGAUUCGUAUGCACAUUAAGUUAAAGAAGCACUACUCUGUUAAUAAUACCUGCCAAGGGACAAAAGGUCCCCAUCAGCCAAUCACCUGGUCACCAGAACUGGCUCAGGGGAUGUGGUCAGCUGAGCACAUCUCCCGUUCCUCCUUUAUGACUCUGUAUAAGCCCUCCCAAAUCUAAAUGCCAGAUUUAAGAGGAUGACCUCCCUGCCAAAAAGUGGCCCAUUCUUCUGUCAAGAAGAAAAGCAAGACUCAGCAUCUCAAGUGACAUGCAUCGGCCGUUUGAUCCUGGACGAGUUGCAUGGCCCCAUUAAUUUACAGGAUUUAACACCCAUUUCUCAUGUUAUAAACCCUCAAAGGGUUCUGUCCAGCACCCAGCACACCAAAUAAACAUGUCUAUUAAAUAUAUGCUGCAGGCUUUUUCAGCCCCCACCAUCUGAAAAGCUGGUGGAGGCAACUUGCAAAGCACAAUGAGAACUUAAUUGAAAUCAGGCAGCUUUCAUCUGCCAGCGACCUGAUUUUCAGUAAAACAGGAAUAACUACCUAUCCCAGGGUUUUAAUGACACAAUAAAAAGUUUAAACUAUGGAUUUCAUUGAGUCAGAAUAAGAACGCAUAUGCUUGUUUACUUAUUCAUUCAUUCGCUUUUUCCAAAUACCCUGUUCUGACAGAGGGCGGAAAGAGAAGCAGGUCUCCUUCUCUGUGUCUGGAUGAGGAGACGGGGCUUGCCAUAGGGGCGACAUCCGAUCCAAGGCUGACUCUCAGGAACUAAUGACUAGAUUUCUUUUCAAGUUUUUUCAUUGAUUUGACGGUGGGUGAGAAAGUAAGAUGUGUGAAUUAAAUCGAAAAGGGCAUAUGUCACAGUUGGUGACUCAGCGUGACUCAAAUUCUGGUUAUGACUCAGGACCGUGUGAGCUUGCUCAAGCCACACAUGGAUCAGAACCUGAAUGACACCUUCUGUAAGAGAGGACAGCACUUGUGGGCUUAUUCUAAGGAUUGAGGAAAAUGUCAUUUCAAAUCAUUAUUGUUCCGUAGAAGAAGACAUCUUAUGACUGUUAACACCCACCAGGAGUCUCCUGAAGAUGGAGCACCCUAAGCUCGACACCGUCAAAGAGUGAUGGUAGUCAGCACCCAGAGCUGUUGUGUGAAUUAAGUGAGCUGAUGAUUGUGACUAUCUUAGCACAGUGUCUGAAUAUUACCUGUACACUGUAUAGUGUUAGAUACUGUUACUAUCUUUCAGGUCACAGACAUGUUCACGUCCCAGUGACACACUAGCUCUGUGACCAUGAACAAGUUUAUUGAUUGAUAAGCUCUCUUAUUUCAGGAAAGUUUCAAAGCACCUUGUCAGAUUAUCUCAGUUUCCUCAACCAUACAAUGGGACUGUUUGGAAUAUCAUAUGAGAAGACAGAGAGAAAAAGAGUUGCUGAUAUUUUUCCUUUUAUUUCCCAAAUCUAUUCUUUGCUUGGCUCUGUGCCAGGGGAGGCUGACCCUAACAAACCACAGCUGACAAAGGCUGACUUCCCUUUGGCUUUGCCCAACAGGAGGCCAGUAGGAUAAGGAGGAUGGUAAGAGAGAGAGGCAGGAGGAUUUCUUCCUCUUGCCCUCCCUGCUUCAGUGCAGCAUCUCUGACACCAUCAGCAUCCUCAGGGUUGCAGCUUUGUCAAGUGGCCCUUCCUCCAGGACUGCGUCUCUCCCUAGACCUAUAGCACUAUUUCCCCCAUGUUCCACUUCAGAGCCAAGUGGCAACAGCUCCCCACUGUUGCUAGUCUCUCAGUGCCUCAACAUAUCUCUUACCAUUAUCCAUCCCUCUGCAGGUAGCCCUUUCUUGAAAAUUUCUUCAUGGAGACACCUGACUGAGUUCUGUUUCCUUCCAGGAUCUUGUAUGUAUCAAAAUACUGGGCCCCAAAAUUGUAGGAGACAUGGUGUUAGACUACCUGUCCAGACAGCUGCCCCUUCUUUGGAAUUGCUCUUCAGCCCCUUCAGAAGGGACGGGGAUAGAAGCCUAACCUAAAGAGAAUGAAUCCAUAGGCUGGAUGGAGCCCAUUAAAUAUUUUCUGGAGAACUGGAGCUAAGAGAAAGAGAGACUGAAUUGGUGAAUGGUGGUGGGGAUCCCAGCCUGACAAGACAGAGGAAGACAAUUUGAAGGCAGAGAAUUUUAUGAUGUUGCUCAGUAUUAGUAGCCCGUAGCUCAGGCACUACCUAGAAUGGGGACUCCCCUGGCUGAGACUUGUGUAACACAGGAGGAGGAGGGACAGGAAUGCAGGUGUGUCACCAGGAAGAACAUUAUUAUCAGCAAUAGGGUAAUGAAAGGAAGUGAUCAUGCACGGAAUUCCAAAAGAUUGAAGCAUAGACUUGGUGUUGGAACAAUCUAUCCAUUUGACUUGGGGCAAGCCAUGGGAGCCUUCGAUUGUUCAUCUAUAAGACAAGGGGAUUAUUUUACACACUAGUCUCAAGGUACUGUUUAUCUGCAGUGUUAAUUCUUUUAGGAGUUAGAUUUUCCCUAGGUAGCCCUAGCUACUUGAGACUUCAUCUCUGUGAUGCACCAAGUUUCUUCCUUUCAUCUGCUUCCCGUUUCCAUGUUUAUCUCAGAAAAUUUUCCUUUUGGAAGACAGUUUGGAUUUAAAGUUAUUGACCUAAUGCCAUGUCUUCUGAAAGUAUUUCUGCUGGUGGAUGUAGCCAAAACCAGAUUUGCUUCUAAGAUGCUGAUCUCUCAGGGGUCACACUUUGGCUCUCUACCUUCCUUUUAUUUAUCUAGGUUAAGAAUGAGUUUAAUGUUUCAAAAUGUUGGUUUGGGGGAAAAUAUUGAUAGAAUUCUCUUACAGAGAGACAAUGGGCCAUGUAUAAGGAGUAUUUACUUAAACACUAGUUCAGUCAUUGACUCAAUUUGAGAAAAUAGAGGUUUUUGGAGCCUUGUAUUCUUCUUUUGUCUUUUUUAAAGAUGGUCUUAAAUGCUUCAGUGAAAAUAAAUCACAGAAAUGUGAGAUAUGGCCUGGAUUUUCAUUUGUUUAUAUUUAGUCACUGAGUAGUAGAGGCAAUAUUAUACAUUGCUGCAUAUGCCCACAGUUGAAACAAAAGAUUUUAAUUCCUUCUUGAAAGUAUAAAACUAAUAUUGCUAUUUUUAAAAACUAAAAUUUGGGCAUCAGAUAUCUGCUACAUAUAUAUAGAGUGCCAAUUUAAAUUUUCAACUUCUAUGGCUAUUUGGUUAUCAGCAGAGGUGCCAAAAAUGUUUUCUUGGUAAAGAAACCAUAAAAUAUGAUUGCUCCUCUGGUUUGCAAAAUAAACUAAAGAGAGAAAAAGUAAUUGGUGCAACCAUAAGGUUUACUGCAAGUGAAAGGAAAAAAGUCUAUCUGGGGCUCAAUUUUAAAACUGAACAAUAUCAUAAAUAAAUCCAAUUUUAAAGAUGAAUACUUCCCCCACUCCCACUUAAAUUUGAAAUGAGGUAGCUUAUGUGUAAGAUUUCUUUUGGUUCCAAGUCUGCUGGUUUCCCCGUAAAUUCUAAGUGCUGUUAAAAAUUAUAUGGCAAUACAAAUUAUAUAUUAAGAAGCAUAAUGAGGGACUUUGGCUCCGAAAUCAGAAUUCUGGGACCAUAAUUUAAACAAAUAACUGAAAACACCAAAAUCCAUGAAGAUGAAGAUAUUCGUUUUCACAUUAUCUGCUAUAUGGAAAAAAUUGGAGACAAUUUAUAAGUCUAACAAUAAGAGAUUUAAUAAGUAAAAUAUAGAACACAAAACUCAAUAGAAUGGCCUAGAGCCAUUGACAUACAACAACAUGGAAAAUCUUUGGUAUGCAAAGUUCACCAAAAAGAACAGAAUACAAAAUUAUAUGUUCACUAUGAUUGACUAUGCAAAAUUAUGACUGAAUCUUAUAAAGGAAUACAUAAAAAUGAAAACCAUUGUAUUAGAUUGAUAGGAUUAGACGUAAUGUACUUAAAAAGGAAAUCCUUCAUUAUUGUUAUAAAAUUGCUCUUUACGGUUUGAAAUAGAAGACUGGAUCUGGAAGAAAAGAUUCUCUGGCAGGGCUCUGUGACACUGAAAGGGAAAGAAAUGAACGUUCAUUUCUGUCUUCGGGAUUACUGGUUCCCAGAAACAGAACCCCACUCGACCCAGCUUAAGAAAAAGGGAAGUUGCUACAAAGAUACUCCAUGAAUUCAAGAGGAAAAUCACAGCUGGGUUGCAGGACAGGGCUGGAGCUACAGCCAGAGGAGCAGGCACUGGCCCAUCGUGGCCUCAGCAGCCCCAAAGCCUCAUGAACAAAAUAUCAACAUUUUAAAUAAAGACCAGAUCCCAACCCAGACUUGCAUGACCCUAAGAGCGAGUACAUCGCUGGCUUCCACUACUCAGGGCCGUGGGUUCUGUAUUUAAAAUUUUGACAAUUUGUUCAUCACGGAUUUUUGCUCUAAUUUUUAUUUAUUA